UGCAGCUCUGGGAACUUGUCUUUUACAGGAUCGGGGACAGUUUGCCCUUCUGAGUUCUACACGUAGCCGCCGAAUUCAACAGACCGGUAGGGGCCAUGGACCUUUUGGAGGGGCAGUUGCCCAUCCCCUCACAGUGAGGUACACACUCAGGGCUGUGACCACCUGUGGGACAGCGCCUUAGUCCCUUUCAGUGAGGAGGAUGUUGCCAAUGUGAUGGCAAAGCCGAGUUCUGCUGGGAGUGCAGGCAGCACUCAGGUCCUGUGUGCAAAGCCUGUGUGCAGUCGGGGGCCAGGGAGCGGGUACUGAACAACCCCAGAGGCGACCAGUAUAAGGUGUCCUGUUGGCCCCAAAAGGGGAAGGCGAUUGUG
rnacentral:lncRNA from 1 species